rnacentral:rRNA from 1 species
CACGGGGGGAGCAAGCGUUGUUCGGAAUCACUGGGCGUAAAGGGCGUGUAGGCGGUCAUGUAAGUGGGAUGUGAAAGCCCUCGGCUCACCCGAGGAUCUGCAUCUCAAACUGCAUGGCUUGAGUAUGGGAGAGGAUGAGGGAAUUCCUGGUGUAGCGGUGAAAUGCGUAGAUAUCAGGAGGAACACCGGUGGCGAAGGCGCUCCUCUGGCCCAAUACUGACGCUGAGGCGCGAAAGCUAGGGGAGCAAACGGG